rnacentral:rRNA from 1 species
CCGGUUGAUCCUGCCGGAGGCCACUGCUAUGGGGGUCCGACUAAGCCAUGCGAGUCAUGGGGCGCGCUCUGCGCGCACCGGCGGACGGCUCAGUAACACGUCGGUAACCUACCCUCGGGAGGGGGAUAACCCCGGGAAACUGGGGCUAAUCCCCCAUAGGCCUGAGGUACUGGAAGGUCCUCAGGCCGAAAGGGGCAUCUGCCCGCCCGAGGAUGGGCCGGCGGCCGAUUAGGUAGUUGGUGGGGUAACGGCCCACCAAGCCGAAGAUCGGUACGGGCCAUGAGAGUGGGAGCCCGGAGAUGGACACUGAGACACGGGUCCAGGCCCUACGGGGCGCAGCAGGCGCGAAACCUCCGCAAUGCGGGCAACCGCGACGGGGGGACCCCCAGUGCCGUGGCAUCGCCACGGCUUUUCCGGAGUGUAAAAAGCUCCGGGAAUAAGGGCUGGGCAAGGCCGGUGGCAGCCGCCGCGGUAAUACCGGCGGCCCGAGUGGUGGCCGCUAUUAUUGGGCCUAAAGCGUCCGUAGCCGGGCCCGUAAGUCCCUGGCGAAAUCCCACGGCUCAACCGUGGGGCUUGCUGGGGAUACUGCGGGCCUUGGGACCGGGAGAGGCCGGGGGUACCCCUGGGGUAGGGGUGAAAUCCUAUAAUCCCAGGGGGACCGCCAGUGGCGAAGGCGCCCGGCUGGAACGGGUCCGACGGUGAGGGACG